CUUUAUUAAUUUCUUAUAUAUAAUUUAUAUUAAAUAUAAAAAUAUAUUUUUUAAAUAAAAUAGACGAUAAGACCCUAUUAAAUUUUACUUAUAGUUUAACUGGGGAAGUUUUAAAAAUAAAAUUUUUUAUAAAAAUAAAAAUAAAUCUAAUAAAAUUAAAAUUAAAUUAAAUUACUAUAGGGAUAACAGCAUUAUAUUUUUUAAAAGUUCAUAUUAAAAAAAAUGAUUGUGACCUCGAUGUUGAAUUAUAUUUUCUUUAUUAAUGCAAUAAUUAUAAAAGUAGAUCUGUUCGAUCUUUAAAAUAUUACAUGAUUUGAGUUCAAACCGGUGUAAACCAGGUUGGUUUCUAUCUUUUUAUAAAUUCAUAUAUAUAUAUAUAUAUAUAUAUACAUAAAUUUUUCAAGUACGAAAGGAAAAAAAAAUUUUUAUUUUAAUUAAUUAGCAAUUAAUAUGCAUUAGAUUUAGAAUCUAAAUAAACUAUU
rnacentral:misc_RNA from 1 species